AGUGAACGCUGGCGGCAUGCCUAACACAUGCAAGUCGAACGGCAACGCCCUAAUAGCUUGCGCUUACGGGUGGCCGGAGGCGUACGGGAGAGGAAUGUAUCCGACUCUACUUUUUCGUGGGGGUUAAGGUAGGGAAAGUUACGAUAAUAUCGCAUACGACCUACGGGUGAAAGCAUGGGAUCGUCGGACCUGGCGGGAUUGAAUGAGCCGAUGUCGGAGUAGAUAGUUGGCGGGGUAAAGGCCCACCAAGUCGACGAUCCGUAGCCGGUCUGAGAGGAGGGUCGGCGACAUUGGAGCUGGGACACGGACAAGACUCCUACGGGAGGCAGCAGUGGGGAAUAUUGGACAAUGGGCGCAAGCCUGAUCCAGCCAGACCGCGUGGGUGAAGAAGGCCUUCGGGUUGUAAAGCCCGUUUGUUGGGAAAGAAAAGCAUCAGGUUAAGACCCCGCUGUUCUGACGGUACCCAAAGAAUAAGCACCGGCUAACUUCGUG
rnacentral:rRNA from 1 species